rnacentral:lncRNA from 1 species
CUGCGAUGGCGUCCGACAAGGAUGCAGACGCGGACUCUUCUCUGGUCUCUGCGACUGCAAUAACAUCUCCUCCUCCUGGGUCGUUCGUUUAAGACAGAGCUUCUGCUUCUACUAAAAUCAUGUUUAUUGCAGGGAUCCAUUUCCUUGUUGCUAUAAUGCUAUAUUAGUAAUUAAUUAUCAAGAAGAAUUAAUGAAGCAAAAAUAAAAGAACAAUUACGGAUUUUGUGUAACCCACUUCCUGAUUCGAUCCGGACUCAAUUUUCGAAAUUCAGUCCAACUCAGUUCAUAAAAUCUUAUCAUUUUGCAAUCGCUAACAGUUGUUUAUGUUAUCGUUUGUGUUUUGUGUAUACAUGAUAUGGUUUACUUGGAUUAUCCAAAUCUCA